UACGGAGGAGGCAAGCGUUAUCCGGAAUUAUUGGGCUUAAAGCGUCCGCAGGUGGCACUUCAAGUCUGUCGUCAAAGACUGGGGCUUAACCCUGGAAAGGCGGUGGAAACUGAAGCGCUAGAGUGCGGUAGGGGUAGAGGGAAUUCCCGGUGUAGCGGUGAAAUGCGUAGAGAUCGGGAAGAACAUCGGUGGCGAAAGCGCUCUACUGGACCGCAACUGACACUCAGGGACGAAAGCUAGGGGAGCGAAUGGG
rnacentral:rRNA from 1 species